UUUCCGUAGGUGAACCUGCGGAAGGAUCAUUACCGAGCUUGAGAAUCGUACUCAAUCGCGUACGAGCUCACUCACCCGUGUAUUACGCUCUCUUGAUUAAUAUUCUGUUUCGGCAGCUGUUCCGCAGUUGCCGGCAGUAUAUCUAAAUUCUGAUUAUUGUUGGUCUGAGUCUAAAACAAAUCAAUUAAAACUUUCAACAACGGAUCUCUUGGUUCUGGCAUCGAUGAAGAACGCAGC
rnacentral:misc_RNA from 1 species